rnacentral:rRNA from 1 species
GAUGAACGCUGGCGGCGUGCCUAACACAUGCAAGUCGAGCGAAGCGCCUUACUUGAUUUCUUCGGGAUUGAAAGUAUUGUGACUGAGCGGGCGCGGGUGAAGUACGCGUGAUAACCUGCCUCAUACAGGGGGAUAACAGUUAGAAAUGACUGCUAAUACCGCAUAAGACCACAGCACCGCAUGGUGCAAGGGGUAAAAACUCCGGUGGUAUGAGAUCGGAUCCGCGUUGGAUUAGCCAGUUGGGCAGGGUAACGGCCUACCAAAGCGACGAUCCAUAGCCGGCCUGGAGACGGGGUGAAACGGCCACAUGGGGACUGAGACACGGCCCAG